GAACCAUAGCUCAGUGGUAGACCACCUGCUUUUCCUGCAGAAGGACCUGGGUUCUAUCCCCAACAUCUUCA